rnacentral:ncRNA from 2 species
GUGUUCGUAAAAAGGAGAGACGGUUGGCAUCUCCCCUGACAGGGACGGGAACGGUCUUCGGACAUUUCCUGCGUAUCGUGUACUGCGGUUAAGGCUACCCGCUUCGGCGGAUCUUACCCAAAUUUUUUU